GCGGUGAAAUGCGUAGAUAUUGGGAAGAACACCAGUGGCGAAGGCGGUUCUCUGGGACGGUACUGACGCUGAGACGCGAAAGCGUGGGGAGCGAACAGGAUUAGAUACCCUGGUAGUCCACGCCGUAAACGAUGGGCGCUAGGUGUGGGAGGUGUCGACUCCUUCCGUGCCGAAGCUAACGCAUUAAGCGCCCCGCCUGGGGAGUACGGCCGCAAGGCUAAAACUCAAAUGAAUUGACGG
rnacentral:rRNA from 1 species